rnacentral:rRNA from 1 species
GUGCAGCAGCCGCGGUUAAUACGGAGGGUGCAAGCGUUAAUCGGAAUUCUUGGCGUAAAGCGCACGCAGGCGGUCUGUCCAGUUCGGAUGUGAAAUCCCCCGGGGUCAACCUGGGAACUGCAUUCGAAACUGGCAGGCUAGAGUCUUGUAGAGGGGGGUAGAAAUCCAGGUGUAGCGGUGAAAAUGCGUAGAGAUCUGGAGGAAUACCGGUGGAGAAGGCGGCCCCCUGGCAAAGACUGACGCUCAGGUGCGAAAGCGUGGCGAGCAAACAGGAUUAGAUACCCUGGUAGUCCACGCCGUAAAACGAUGUCGACUUGGAGGUUGUGCCCUUGAGGCGUGGCUUCCGGAGCUAACGUGUUAAAUCGACCGCCUGGGGAGUACGGCCGCAAGGUUAAAACUCAAAUGAAUUGACGGGGGCCCGCACAAGCGGUGGAGCAUGUGGUUUUAAUUCGAUGCAACGCGAAGAACCUUACCUGGUCUUGACAUCCACAGAACUUUCCAGAGAUGGAUUGGUGCCUUCGGGAACUGUGAGACAGGUGCUGCAUGGCUGUCGUCAGCUCGUGUUGUGAAAUGUUGGGUUAAGUCCCGCAACGAGCGCAACCCUUAUCCUUUGUUGCCAGCGGUCCGGCCGGGAACUCAAAGGAGACUGCCAGUGAUAAACUGGAGGAAGGUGGUCCGACCCCACUUUCAUCAUGGCGAUUUGGCCAGGACCUCGCAGGACCUACAGGGCCACAUU